AACAUUCAACGCUGUCGGUGAGUUUGGGACUUGAAAAAACCACCGACCGUUGACUGUACC
rnacentral:pre_miRNA from 1 species